rnacentral:rRNA from 1 species
AGCGAACGCUGGCGGCAGGCCUAACACAUGCAAGUCGAACGAACUCUUCGGAGUUAGUGGCGGACGGGUGAGUAACACGUGGGAACGUGCCUUUAGGUUCGGAAUAACUCAGGGAAACUUGUGCUAAUACCGAAUGUGCCCUUCGGGGGAAAGAUUUAUCGCCUUUAGAGCGGCCCGCGUCUGAUUAGCUAGUUGGUGAGGUAAAGGCUCACCAAGGCGACGAUCAGUAGCUGGUCUGAGAGGAUGAUCAGCCACAUUGGGACUGAGACACGGCCCAAACUCCCACGGGAGGCAGCAGUGGGGAAUCUUGCGCAAUGGGCGAAAGCCUAACGCAGCCAUGCCGCGUGAAUGAUGAAGGUCUUAGGAUUGUAAAAUUCUUUCACCGGGGACGAUAAUGACGGUACCCGGAGAAGAAGCCCCGGCUAACUUCGUG